GGACAUGCUCGUACUGUCUGUGCCUGGAACUGGAUGCAGCCACUCCAACCAGAAUUAAAUAGAUGACCUCUGAAAUGGAUGGUGAUGGUGAUAUGGACCCAGGCAGGGAUGACUUGCCCCUCAGAGCCAACACCAACCACAUCCUGGUCAGACACUAUGUCUUGGACCUGGACAUAAACCUUCAAACUAAGGUUAUCACUGGUACUGUGGUGCUCUUCCUGGAGCCAGGCGCACUGGCUGGAGAUGGGAAUGGGGCUGGGGAAGGCGCCCCAACCCCACCCCAAACAUCCCAGACUGAUGACUCCUGGGAGGAUGAGAGACACAGAGACUUUACCUUAGUUCUGGACUGCUGUGACCUCACUGUGUCAAAAGUAGAGGAGUUGGACGUGACCUCUGUGUCAGAUAUGCAGGGUCUCCUAAAGGAGGUCAAGGGUGAGGGGUCAGGUGUUGGCCCACAACCAGACAGCCAAUCAGCUGUGCUCAUUCAGAGGCUGAUCUCCCUACCGUCCACCCAAUGGAAAAAGAAACACCACCUGUACUUCCAGUGCAGUCAUGCCCCUGCUUCUGAGGGCGGGGGACCCCUCAUCUUCCACAUUGACCGCUGGAGCCUGCAGGUGAGGAAGAGGGGGGUUCGGACCAUCCAGGAGUUCCCCCGAGCCCUGAGGGUCUGCUACAAGACCAAGCCGGAGGGAGGCUCUGUCAGGUGGACUAAAGAUCAGGACAACAGGUCAUGUGUUUACACCGCCGGCUCCCCCAUCAACAACCGUGCCCUCUUCCCCUGUCAGGAGCCUCCUGUCGCCAUGUCGACGUGGCAGGCCCAGGUACGAGCCCCUAGGGAGUGUGUGGUUCUAUUGAGUGGAGAGAACCAGGCCCAGCCCACGCACCUGCACCACACAGGUCUCUCUAGCUGGGACUACUAUGUAACUAUGCCUAUGCCUGCCUCCACUUUUACCUUGGCAGUGGGUUACUGGCGCCAGGCCACAGCACAACUUUCCACAGCACAGCUUACCCCUCCUGUGCAGGGUACAAGGGCAGGGGCCUCCCAUACGCAUGCUGGCAGCUUGGACCUGAAUCCAUUCACCAGCCCACAGUCUACGGUAGUCUACUCAGGCCUGAAGGAUGAGAAGCACUCUGAGAGCGACUGCUCAGGUCUGGGCGAUCACAACUUCACCUGUUGCCAUGCGGAUUACCCCUGUCCAUUCACCGACCCAUCCGCCUGGAGCCAAGAGGUGGUCCCUCACCGGAUGUUUGCCCCGUCCUCUCUGCUGCAGAAGGCCCAGGUCCAGGUCCUCCCCCUUCUGCCUGGCUGCCUGGCUGCAGCCCACGCUACCCUGGGGGUCCAUCCCUUCCCCCGCCUCGACGUACUCAUCGUCCCAGCAAGCUUCUCUAGUCUGGGCAUGGCCAGCCCCCACAUCAUUUUCCUGUCACAGAGUGUGCUGUGUGGAGACAGAGAGGGAGACGGAGAGGGAGUUGGAGGAGAGCGGGGCCUGUCUCUGUGUGGGUCUCGUCUGUGCCAUGAGCUGUCCCACUCGUGGUUUGGCCUGGCCAUCGGGGCCCGGGACUGGACAGAGGAGUGGAUCAGUGAGGGCUUUGCCACAUACCUGGAGGACAUCAUCUGGGCCCGGGCACAGCAGUUGUCCAGCAAAGAGACAGAGGAACAGUCUCAACUCAAGGCUCUGCUGAGGUGGAGGAGACUCUCAGACGAACUACAGAACUCCGAGGAGCAGCUGCAGAUCCUCAGGCCCAACAUGGAGAGUACAGGCCAGGUCAGUGAGUCUGGGUCGUCCCUGGUCAAACAUGCCCUCAACCCUGAGAAAACCUUCAUGCAAGUCCACUACCUCAAGGGCUACUUCCUCCUCAGGUUCCUGGCCAGUAAAGUAGGACUUGAAUACUUCCUCCACUUCUUCAGACUCUUUAUAAAGAAAUACCAUGGACAACUGAUUCUCUCUCAGGAUUUCUUGCAAAUGCUGCUGGAGACCUUUCCUGACAUCGAGCGACAAGGCCUAACCCUCGAAGCUAUUUAUGCAGACUGGCUGGAUCGACCAGGAGUUCCUAAGUGGCUGUGUGUAGGGAGUGUCGUAUGGACACAGACUCGGCUGGUGGAAGACGUCAAAGCAGAGGUAGCAAAAUGGAUUGGUCUCAGUCCGAGCGUUGGAAAAGGCAGAAAGCGGAAGAAAGCUGGACUGAACUUGAACUUCAAAGAGGUGAUGCCGGAGCAGCUGGUGUUGCUUUUGGAGAUUCUGCUGGAGGAGGCGGAGCUAAGUGUGACAUCACUACGUACGAUCAAGAGAACCUACGAUCUACCGAAGCAGGACGCUGAGGUGAGGCAUCGCUGGUGUGAGCUAGUGAUCAAACACAAAUACGCUCAGGCUUAUGGAGAUGUGGAGCACUUCCUCAUACACGACCAGGCCAUGGGUGUUUAUCUGUACGGAGAGCUGAUGAUUCAAGAGGACUCUAGACAACAGGCCCUGGCCAGGCGCUGCCUCUCAUUGGUCCAGAACGAAAUGGACCAAUCAGCUCGCAGAGUGGUAGAGGAGAUGGUCCUAUGAGGGGGCACACAAAAGGUACUGACCCACCCAGCUGUGCCAUCUCAAAAUUAUAGGCUGCCCAGCUGCCCGCCUUGGGACAUGGAAGGGAGAGGAAACACUGAGAAAGUAAUGCUCUCACUACUUCCCCUUCAGACAGGAAGACCAAACGCCAACCUGUUUUCUUUCCUGCAUGAUCAAUGAAGUUGAAGCACUGUACUGUACAUACUAAUAGUAAUAGGUGAUGUGUAGAUAGGCCUGCGUCCCAAAAUGGCACCCUAUUUCCUAUAUAGUGCACUACUUUUGACCAGUGCCCUAUUAGCCCUUUGUCUUUGGGCAAAAGUAGUAAACGAUAAUGGGAAUAUGGUGUCAUUUGGUACGCCCAUAGUUAUGUUCUCCAGAAUUCUCAAAAAUAUAGGAAUCGAAAAGAAAGACUAUUGUCAUGGCAUUUGUAUAAAUAUAAUAAUGCCUCUUUACUGAACUUUCUGAUUUAGCCUCAGUUUCAAUUCUCCUCAUUAGGAAAUGCGACAGAAUGAGAUUUGGGUCUUGGAGGUGUCCUUUGAUGUGGAGAUUUGGGUCUUGGAGGUGUGCUUUGAUGUGAGUGUCUCUUGUGUGUUUGAACGUGGGAUCGUUUGUACAUUCAUUCUGAAAAAAAUAACAGUACAGCUACAGUCACUCACCCUUCUAGAUAACUUGAAACAGUCUAACCAGGUCUUGUGUCUGGACGCCACCUGCAGAUUCAUACUACAGCUAUGACAAUUAUUAUUAGCUAUUAUUAUUAUUAUAUAUAUAUUACAAUUAGUUUGUAUUGCUAGUAGUAUGGGUUGGGAUUAUGUUUUUUUUAGCUUGCUAGCUACAUUACACGGCCCAUCAAGUUAGCCAGUUGUAUCUGGGGGUGAUUACGGCCAUCUACUGUAUUUCAUGAACAUGUGUACAUGUCUAGACAAUAGUGACCCAUCCACUUAGCUGGAUGUGGCUGGGGAGUGGUUAUAGCAUGACCCAUCCAAUGUAAACAAGUGUGUCUGGGUAAGCAGCUGAUAAUGAUCAAAUAUUUUUAUCUGGACACUUUCUGUUUUUUGAUAUUGCUACUAAUCAAAUAUGUAAGUAAACAUUUCACUGUACCGUUUACACCUUUGUAUGUGACAAAUAAACAUCGAUUUGAUAUAGUGUU